ACUGGGCAUGGUGGUACAUGCUUGUAAUCCCAGCUUCUGGGGAGGUUGAGGCAGGAGGAUGGCAAGUUUGAGGCAACUGAGUGAGAUCCUGUCUUAA
rnacentral:sRNA from 1 species